rnacentral:rRNA from 1 species
GUACGGGAGGCAGCAGUGGGGAAUUGUUCGCAAUGGGCGCAAGCCUGACGACGCAACGCCGCGUGGAGGACGAAGAUCUUCGGGUCGUAAACUCCUGUCGAGCGGGACGAACACCCAUCCGGUGAACAACCGGGCGGGCUGACGGUACCGCUAAAGGAAGCCCCGGCUAACUCCGUGCCAGCAGCCGCGGUAAUACGGGGGGGGCAAGCGUUGUUCGGAAUUACUGGGCGUAAAGGGCUCGUAGGCGGCCAACUAAGUCGGACGUGAAAUCCCUCGGCUCAACCGAGGAACUGCGUCCGAUACUGGAUGGCCUGAAUUCGGGAGAGGGAUGCAGAAUUCCAGGUGUAGCGGUGAAAUGCGUAGAUAUCUGGAGGAAUACCGGUGGCGAAGGCGGCAUCCUGGACCGACAUUGACGCUGAUGAGCGAAAGCCAGGGGAGCAAACGGGAUUAGAUACCCCGGUAGUCA